rnacentral:tRNA from 1 species
GUGGGUAUAGCUCAGUGGUAGAACACGUGCUUAGCACACAUGAGGUCCUGGGUUCAAUCCCCAGUACCUCCA